rnacentral:rRNA from 1 species
AUUGAACGCUGGCGGCAGGCCUAACACAUGCCAGUCGAACGGUAACAGGAAGCAGCUUGCUGCUUCGCUGACGAGUGGCGGACGGGUGAGUAAUGUCUGGGAAGCUGCCUGAUGGAGGGGGAUAACUACUGGAAACGGUAGCUAAUACCGCAUAAUGUCGCAAGACCAAAGAGGGGGACCUUCGGGCCUCUUGCUAUCGGAUGUGCCCAGAUGGGAUUAGCUUGUUGGUGGGGUAACGGCUCACCAAGGCGACGAUCCCUAGCUGGUCUGAGAGGAUGACCAGCCACACUGGGACUGAGACACGGUCCAGACUCCUACGGGAGGCAGCAGUGGGGAAUAUUGCACAAUGGGCGCAAGCCUGAUGCAGCCAUGCCGCGUGUAUGAAGAAGGCCUUCGGGUUGUAAAGUACUUUCAGCGGGGAGGAAGGGAGUAAAGUUAAUACCUUUGCUCAUUGACGUUACCCGCAGAAGAAGCACCGGCUAACUCCGUG